AUUGAACGCUGGCUGCAGGCUUAACACAUGCAAGUCGAACGAGUGGCGGACGGGUGAGUAAUGCUUGGGAAUCUGGCUUAUGGAGGGGGAUAACUACGGGAAACUGUAGCUAAUACCGCGUACCAUAGGAUGAGCCCAAGUGGGAUGAGGUAGUUGGUGAGGUAAAGUCUCACCAAGCCGACGAUCUCUAGCUGGUCUGAGAGGAUGACCGGCCAAACUGGGACUGGGACACGGCCCGGACUCCUACGGGAGGAAGCAGUGGGGAAUAUUGCGAAAUGGGGGAAACCUGACGCAGCAAUGCGGCGUGAAUGAAGAAGGCCUUCGGGUUGUAAAGUUCUUUCGGUAGGGAGGCGUUAACUACAGAAGAAGCACCGGCUAACUCCGUGCCAGCAGCCGCGGUAAUUC
rnacentral:rRNA from 1 species